rnacentral:rRNA from 1 species
UGGAGAAAAGCAGGGGAUCGUAAGACCUUGCGCUUUUGGAGUGGCCGAUGCCUGAUUAGCUAGUUGGUGGGGUAAAGGCCUACCAAGGCGACGAUCAGUAGUUGGUCUGAGAGGACGACCAGUCACACUGGGACUGAGACACGGCCCAGACUCCUACGGGAGGCAGCAGUGGGGAAUUUUGGACAAUGGGCGAAAGCCUGAUCCAGCAAUGCCGCGUGAGUGAAGAAGGCCUUCGGGUUGUAAAGCUCUUUCAGUCGAGAAGAAAAGAUUGUGAUGAAUAAUCACAGUUCAUGACGGUAUCGACAGAAGAAGCACCGGCUAACUACGUGCCAGCAGCCGCGGUAAUACGUAGGGUGCAAGCGUUAAUCGGAAUUACUGGGCGUAAAGGGUGCGCAGGCGGCUUUGUAAGUCAGAUGUGA